rnacentral:tRNA from 1 species
UUAGAGGGGGACUUAGUUUUAGAUGCAUAGAAUACUGCUCUUGUAAAGCAGAGGGGCUGUUAUGGGUGGUCUCCA